rnacentral:rRNA from 1 species
GUCGAGCGGAGUUUUGAAAGCUUGCUUUUCAAACUUAGCGGCGGACGGGUGAGUAACACGUGGGCAACCUGCCCUUGAGACGGGGAUAACUCCGGGAAACCGGAGCUAAUACCGGAUAACACAUAUCUUCGCAUGAGGAUAUGUUAGAAGGUGGCUUUUAGCUACCACUCAAGGAUGGGCCCGCGGCGCAUUAGCUAGUUGGUGAGGUAACGGCUCACCAAGGCGACGAUGCGUAGCCGACCUGAGAGGGUGAUCGGCCACACUGGGACUGAGACACGGCCCAGACUCCUACGGGAGGCAGCAGUAGGGAAUCUUCCGCAAUGGACGAAAGUCUGACGGAGCAACGCCGCGUGAGUGAUGAAGGUUUUCGGAUCGUAAAGCUCUGUUGUUAGGGAAGAACAAGUAUCUGUUGAAUAAGCAGGUACCUUGACGGUACCUAACCAGAAAGCCACGGCUAACUACGUGCCAGCAGCCGCGGUAAUACGUAGGUGGCAAGCGUUGUCCGGAAUUAUUGGGCGUAAAGCGCGCGCAGGCGGUUCCUUAAGUCUGAUGUGAAAGCCCACGGCUCAACCGUGGAGGGUCAUUGGAAACUGGGGAACUUGAGUGCAGAAGAGGAGAGCGGAAUUCCACGUGUAGCGGUGAAAUGCGUAGAGAUGUGGAGGAACACCAGUGGCGAAGGCGGCUCUCUGGUCUGUAACUGACGCUGAGGCGCGAA